rnacentral:piRNA from 1 species
UGUCCUCACAGCCAUAGAGGUGGUGACUGC